UGCCAGACUCCUACGGGAGGCAGCAGUUAGGAAUAUUCGUCAAUGGGGGAAACCCUGAACGAGCAAUGCCGCGUGAAGGAUGACGGUCCUCUGGAUUGUAAACUUCUGUUGUUAGGGAAGAACGACCUAAGUAGGAAAUGACUUAGGAGUGACGGUACCUUUCAAGAAAGCUCCGGCUAACUACGUGCCAGCAGCCGCGGUAAUACGUAGGGGGCGAGCGUUAUCCGGAUUCACUGGGUGUAAAGGGAGCGUAGACGGCCAUGCAGGCCAGGGGUGAAAGCCCGGGGCCCAACCCCGGGACUGCCCUUGGAACUGUGCGGCUAGAGUGCGGGAGGGGCAGGCGGAAUUCCUGGUGUAGCGGUGAAAUGCGUAGAUAUCAGGAGGAACACCGGCGGCGAAGGCGGCCUGCUGGACCGCGACUGACGUUGAGGCUCGAAAGCGUGGGGAGCGAACAGGAUUAGAUACCCUAGUAAU
rnacentral:rRNA from 1 species